GGGGUUACUAAUGAUUUUAGCUUGCAAAAAGAUUUAUUAUAUUUCAGAGGUAAAAUCAUAAUUUUAUCAAGUUCUAUUUUGAAAGCCUCAAGAGCAAGAAUAGAAGAUUUGUGAUCUAUUGAAGAUAAUUUUAUAUUUUUUAGAUAUAUAUUUUGAAAAAAAAUCAAGUUUAAAGAAAAUGGUCGACCCUUAGAGUCGAUCAUGAUCAAAAG
rnacentral:lncRNA from 1 species